GUUCUAGUGUUGUUGUUAUCCAGUGUGCAUAGUCCAUGAAAGAUACGUAGCCUUCUGUAUGGAUUUAUCAACACACUUUUCGGUGUAGAAUUGGGUGAUCAGUGACUAUUAUAUGAGAUAUUUGUAUAUGGCGUUUCUAAAUCGUUUGUGUAGCCUAUUGCAGACAGUAGGCCUAUCCCAAAUGUGUCUAACAUGAUCGCGAAGUCCGUCUUUAUAUUCAGUUUUAUUUUUGAUUCAUUCGCGCUCAUGUGUGUCUCAUGUCAGCUGCCGGAUUGAACUUGGACCUGUCUUUUUCUAUUUAUGUAUUCGUCCGAGAGAACGACGACAUUUGCGAUCGAUAGUGUUUGCCAUUUUUGGACUAUUUAAAGUGGGGAAAUUUCAUUGUAGAAAUGCGUGCAACACACUGAAUGCUGUCGCUGUCUCUCGCCAACACUUACAGCGGACCGUCUGUGAUUAUAAAAAGUAGAUUUGAAACAUGAUCAGACGCGGAAUGAAGGAUUGACCCCAUGGGUAAUCGAUUUCUGUGGAAACAAUGUAGGCUAUCUGGUCACUUUAUACAACAUCAUUCAACAUUAUCGAAAAGCAAUUAGUAGCCUACUGCACAAAUCCUAUCCUGUGCAUCACAACUUGAAAGAGUCAUGCAAUUGACACUUUUGCUACAAUCAUUGCAGCACAGUUGGUGUGCUGCAAUGCAGUUGGUGUGCUGCAAUUUUAUUUUAUUUUUGCAAAAAUCAGUGAAAAAAAUCCUCAAAAAUAAAAUAUAGAACGUUACAAAUUUAAAUUUUCAAAUUGACUGUUAAACAUUUGUGACUUUAAUGUACGCAUACAAAAUCUGCAGUUACAGGUGCUAAAGACUUUUGCUACAAUAAUACCUUAAUAUUUCAACGCCAUGUGUUGAAAACGCAACUCCCAUGUUCCCACGCACCACGAGUCAUCAAAUGGCUUCUGUUACUCAUCCCAAAGAUAACAGUUUACCGUGGAAGAAAAUGCUGACCCAACGUCUCCCCUUCUGGCCACAAAAGGAUUUAUUUGGAUUAAAAAUCUGACUAAGACAGGCAAACAGCAAGUUGGUCCUUUGUGCUAUUCCGUUCUCACAAGCCUCGCGACAGAGACGGACCAUCUUCCACCAUCUACAGACGUUUUGUCACGUUUUGUGGCUCUACACCUCCAGCCUGCCUGCUUCACCCCCUCCAGCCUGAUGCGCCCCACUCUCCAACCUUCCCCCCGCCUCCCUCCUGGUUAUACCAAAUAAACCUGUUCACCUUCACUCC
ensembl:lncRNA